CUGUUAUGAUGACAUCUUAGGACACCUUUGAACUAAGAAUGAAAAGAAUACGUUGUUUUCUGAGCAGC